GUUCAUCCCGCCUGACACUUUUCUCAAACCUCAUUGAAUGAAGGUGAGCAAAGUCUCAGGUGUGGCGGAUC
rfam:Angiostrongylus cantonensis strain Taiwan genome assembly, scaffold: ACAC_scaffold0000874